CCACAUGCUGCAGAGAACUGGGCUGGUGUAGAGCUGCUGUUCUGGCUCCGAUGCAGUGAGUGGAAUUUAAAAAGUGGACUUUUCCCUUUGGACUUGAUUAGUACAGUUUAAUUUAUGAAGAUAUACCUAUCCUCAGUGUUCCUCAGACAUUCUCCAAAAAUGUGCCUGAACACAGAUAAGAUAAAUAUUUAUAGAAGAGAGAGCAGCUUUUCAAACUGUCUGUGAUAUGACAAAGGAGAAUGGCUUUAAACUAAAAGGAAAUUGAAAGGGAGAAAUGGAAUCUGUAUCAGUAAA